ensembl:lncRNA
AACCAGAGCAGCCGCAGCUAUGCCAAUGCCAGAUCCUUUAACCCACUGCGCGUCUGCAGCCAUCCAAGCUGCUGCAGUGGGAUUCUUAACUUACUGUGUCACCGUGGAAACUCUGACACCGGUUUAAUUUUAAGAUUCCUUAUGAGCCACUCUGGUUACGAAGACCCAGAAAGCUCUAUGCAUUAUUUCCACUCUGAUCCUUCUUUUGUCUUUAUUAAGAAAAAAAAUUAAAAGCUAAGAGCACUCCUGCACUGAUAUAAAGAAACAUCUGCACAAGAAUUGGGAAUCUGCCCUAGAAAAUUCCCAUCACCUGGCCACACACUUUGGUUUUCUGGAAACUACCUGGAGAAACACCGCAGUACUGAAGAGAACACCCAGAAGAUAGCCGUUGGUAGAAGGAAAUCUAUCUGCUUUGCUGUUUCCAACAGAGAAUUUGGACUGAGCCCAAAAUAGGCUUGAAGUGGAUUUACCACAGGUGGAGACACAUCACCCAAGUUCGAGGUCUUUGACGGCUUAAACGAGGCUGGCAUUGAGCAUGGCUGGGCCUCCUUCAUCGCACCUCCCUCUGGUAACUGCAGCCACUCACAUCCUUUUCCUCCUUUUUAAUCUUUUCUUGUUUUGUUGUUUUUCUUUUUGGCUGCGCCCGUGGCAUGUGGAAGUUCAUAGGCCGGGGAUGGAACCCAAGCCGCUGCAGGACAACCCCAGAUCCUUAACCCACUGCGCCACGGAGGGACACCUCCUUUUCCCCCUUUCUGAUCCUCACUGUCCAAGCCAGCACUUCUCCUGGUUUCACAGCGGGCUUUCCUUCUGCGCUUCCCUUCUCUCUGCUCGCUACUCUGUGCGGUUAAGGAAGAUGUGUGAUAAAAAGUUAGGAGGUAAUUUCUGUGCAACUCACCCAGCAAGCUUCUGAAAACAGUAUCCUCUUUUAACUGUUGGCAGUCUGAGAUUCAGCAGUUAAAUCACUUAUCCAGGAACAGCCAGUGGUAUGUUGAGCUAAAAUCAGGUCCACAUUCCUGGCGGUCUGAGCCGCACCGGGAGAACUAGGCUGUCCACACCCGGUGGGAUGGGUACCAGCCCCCCGCCGGGCCUGUGUCAGCUCUCCAAAGACCCUGUUCUGGAUUCCGUGACUGAGACGGUUUCCAGGAGGCCACAGGCACAUUUCUGCCUGUGUCCAUGCAGGGUGGACAUGGAAGCCCAAUUCUGUUGCCCUGGCCGCUCCCAGCCUCACCUCAUCCGUGUUCCUGGAGUACAGGAGAGGCACAGUUCAUGUACCCGCAGGUUUUCGAAGGAUUGAUCAAGUGAGCUUGGUGGACAGCAAGUUUCCCAAAUCCCAGCUUUGAAUUUAUGGCCACUGUCUCUUCUAUCUUGUCUUCUACAGUUUGAGCAAAUUUUUGAAAGGUAUUAAUCCGAUAAUUUGUUCUGUAUGGACCUAUUGAUCCAUCUGUUUACUUCCUAUCCCUCUGUACUGAAAAUAAUGAUCUCAUAUACCGAAUUCUUUGUAUCACAUUCAGGUUUCUGCAUUUAAUUUAGACCAGUUUUUGUUUUUUUUUACUGGCCAUACCAGUGGCACAUGUAAGUUCCCAGGCCAGGGGUUGAAUCAGAGCUGCAGCUGAGGCCUAACGCUACAGCCACAGCAACACCAGAUCAAAGCCCCAUCUGCAACGUAUGCCGGAGCUUGCAGCAAUGCCAGAUCUGUAACCCACUGAGCAAGGCCAAGGAUUGAACCUGCAUCCUCACAGAGAUGACAUCAGGUCCUUAGACCACUGUAAUCAAUUCUCUAAUAAUGUGAUGUUGAUCAUCUUUUCAUGUGCUGUUUUUUUUCUUCCAUCCCACAACCCCAGUGCAUUCCCCCCACCCCCCAAACUGUCUCCUUUGGAAACCGUAAGUUUUUCAAAGUCUGUGAGUCAGUAUCUGUUCUACAAAGAAGUUCAGUCUGUCCUUUUUUCAGAUUCUACAUGUCAGUGAAAGCAUUUGCUGUUGGUGUCUCAUUGUAUGGCUGAUACACUUAGUAUAAUGGUUUCUAGGUUCAUCCAUGUCACUACAAAUGCUGGUAUUUUGUUCCUUUUAAUGGCUGAGUAAUAUUCCAUGUGUAUAUGCACCACAUCUUCUGGAUCCACUCCUCUGUCGAUGGACAUUUAGGUUGUUUCCAUGUCUUGGCUGUUGCAAACAGUGCUGCAGUGAACAUCGGAGUACAUGUGUCUUUGCGAGUCCUGGUUUUCUCUGGAUAGAUGCCCAGGAGUGGGAUUGCUGGAUCCAAUGGUAGCUCUUAUGUUUAGUUUUCUGAGGCAUCUCCAUACUGUUUUCCACAGCGGUUGCACCAAUUUACAAUCCCACCAACAGUGUAAUCGGGUUCCCUUUUCUCCACACCCUCUCCAGCACUUAUUGUUUGGAGACUUUUGGAUGAUGGCCAUUCUGGCUGGUGUCAGUUGGUACCUCAUCGUGGUUUUGAUGUGCAUU